rnacentral:rRNA from 1 species
AUUGAACGCUGGCGGCAGGCCUAACACAUGCAAGUCGAACGAGUGGCGGACGGGUGAGUAAUGUCUGGGAAACUGCCCGAUGGAGGGGGAUAACUACUGGCAACGGUAGCUAAUACCGCAUACUAUCAGAGGGGCCGAGAUUGGAUUAGCUAGUUGGUGGGGUAACUGCUCACCAAGUCGACGAUCCCUAGCUGGUCUGAGAGGAUGACCAGCCACACUGGAACUGAGACACGGUCCAGACUCCUACGGUAGGCAGCAGUGGGGAAUAUUGCACAAUGGGCUCAAGCCGGAUGCAGCCAUGCCGCGUGUAUGAUGAAGGCCUUCGGGUUGUAAAGGACUUUCAGCUGGGAGGCGGUACCCGCAGAAGAAGCACCGGCUAACUCCGUGCCAGCAGCCGCGGUAAUAC